rnacentral:rRNA from 1 species
GACGAACGCUGGCGGCGUGCCUAAUACAUGCAAGUCGAGCGGAACUUAGAAAGCUUGCUUUCUAAGUUUAGCGGCGGACGGGUGAGUAACACGUGGGCAACCUGCCUAUAAGACUGGGAUAACUUCGGGAAACCGGAGCUAAUACCGGAUAAUAUAAAAGAUCACAUAGUCUUUUAUUGAAAGAUGGCUUCGGCUAUCACUUAUAGAUGGGCCCGCGGCGCAUUAGCUAGUUGGUGAGGUAAUGGCUCACCAAGGCGACGAUGCGUAGCCGACCUGAGAGGGUGAUCGGCCACACUGGGACUGAGACACGGCCCAGACUCCUACGGGAGGCAGCAGUAGGGAAUCUUCCGCAAUGGACGAAAGUCUGACGGAGCAACGCCGCGUGAACGAUGAAGGCCUUCGGGUCGUAAAGUUCUGUUGUUAGGGAAGAACAAGUAUCGUUCGAAUAGGGCGGUACCUUGACGGUACCUAACCAGAAAGCCACGGCUAACUACGUG